rnacentral:rRNA from 1 species
CAAUAGCGUAUAUUAAUUUUGUUGCAGUUAAAAAGCUCGUAGUCGGAUUUCUUUUGUUUUAUAAGUAUCGGGUACUAAGCCUUUGUGCACAGUUACCUCUCUUAUGAUUCAAAAUAAAUUGGGUAAUUCGUAUAGGAGGAGUCUCUGGGUAUUAAUUUACUAGUAGGGCGAUCCCUAUGCAUAUGUGUUAUCCAUCAUUUACUGUGAAAAAAUCAAAGCGUUCAAAGCAGGCUCUAAGCUCUCUGAAUGUCUCAGCAUGGAAUAAUAAGAUAAGUUUCAUCUUCAUUUUGUUGGUUUGCAAAGAAGAAAAAUGAUUAACAGGGACAGUUGGGGGUAUUCGUAUUAGAUUGUCAGAGGUGAAAUUCUUGGAUUUAUUUAAGACGAACAACAGCGAAAGCAUUUACCAAGGAUGUUUUCAUUAA